rnacentral:antisense_RNA from 21 species
CUUGAUUGAGCCCACCCACAGCGGCUGCUCCGCUGGACGUCCCUGCCCGUAGGUGGACAGCAAUGCCUGCGCUUC